AGUGAACGCUGGCGGUAGGCCUAACACAUGCAAGUCGAACGGCAGCACAGUAAGAGCUUGCUCUUACGGGUGGCGAGUGGCGGACGGGUGAGGAAUACAUCGGAAUCUACUUUUUCGUGGGGGAUAACGUAGGGAAACUUACGCUAAUACCGCAUACGACCUACGGGUGAAAGCAGGGGAUCUUCGGACCUUUCGCGAUUGUAUGAGCCGAUGUCGGAUUAGCUAGUUGGCGGGGUAAAGGCCCACCAAGGCGACGAUCCGUAGCUGGUCUGAGAGGAUGAUCAGCCACACUGGAACUGAGACACGGUCCAGACUCCUACGGGAGGCAGCAGUGGGGAAUAUUGCGCAAUGGGCGAAAGCCUGAUCCAGCAAUACCGCGUGAGUGAAGAAGGCCUUCGGGUUGUAAAGCCCUUUUGUUGGGAAAGAAAAGCAGCAGGUUUAUACCCCGCUGUUCUGACGGUACCCAAAGAAUAAGCACCGGCUAACUUCGUG
rnacentral:rRNA from 1 species